rnacentral:lncRNA from 1 species
GACUCAGUAUGGAAGGUACAGUGUCUAUUUAUAGUGGGCUUUGGAGUGGUAAGAUAAGACCAAGUUAAUAAAUAUCCUCAGAAAGGGUCAUAAAUCCUCUGUCACUGUUCGCUUUAUACCUUUAAGAUCACUGGGGGAUGUUUUAAACAGAUGGGAUAACCUUCCACUUGUCUCCUUUGGGCUUUAUGAUGGAUGAGUACAGUAUCAUUAGAGCUUUUAUCCACUCCUGUUAUUGGGAUCAUUCGGCAGCCCGUUGGCAGGAUCUAUUUUGCUGGCACAGAGACAGCCACUGAGUGGAGUGGAUACAUGGAAGGGGCUGUCCAGGCUGGAGAAAGAGCAGCCAGAGAGGUACAGAUGCUCAGGGGACACUGUAAAAUGUCCUGUGGAAAAGGAAAGAUCUUGUGGUUGGGGGGGAAAUGAGAAGUGUUGACAGCUUCAGGUGUUCUGAAUCUUGAUGCAAAGGGGAUUGACUUCAACAAGAAUGAAGGUUUUGCACUUAGAUUUGGAACGCUAGGAAGGGCUCUGGCUAUUUUGUCAAACUCUCCCCUUGUUUCUAGGACUAAAUAAUUUCUUCUUUUACAAAAAAUCCCAAAUUCUACCCCAGUCAUUUUUCUCCCAAAUCUAUGAAUCAUCCUGCUGUGAGAUCCUGGCUGAUAGAGCAUGGGAACAGCUCAGUGCUGCAGCUCUGCACAGCAAGCCUGGUCCUUCCUCAGACUUUCCAACACAACAGUCAUGUUCCACUGAGACAGCCUUGACACAGAGUCACUAAACAAGGACUUAGACAUUUUUCUUCUGAGAAAAUGCCAAUUCCCUGAGUAUUUUCAGGAACAUUACAGUUUAUUGAGCAGCAAAGGAAAUUUAAUCUUUGUUUUAUGAGGUGAAGGGAACCUUGUGGUUAAAAACUAUUCAAGGAACACAAAUUAUCCUGGGAGAAAUGUGGUGAGUUCAUCUAGCCCAUACCCCUGCCCCAAGAGACAGAGAUCAAUUGUUCAUAAAUGAUCCCAUUUGAGAAAGUUAUACCUAAGGUGCUCCUGAAAAGCUCCAGAGGCCUCAAGACUUCUCUAAUGUGAGGACAUUACAGCAGAGCUUCUAUAGGCCUCACAGAGGAGCAGAUAAGUGCACUUGGUUG